AUGACAACUCAGUUCAACAGACGGCGGAGGGGUGGAGGGGUUUCCAUGUUCCUGGGCAGCUAUUAACGCUGCCGGGCUGAAAGAGCUUUUUAAUUGACUCCAGUUAUCCUUUUUUAAUGCCGUAAUUAAAAGGGCUAAUUCAACACACAGAGAUUUAAAAAUAAUAAUAAUACUGACAAGCAAGUCCUGCAAGGUAUUUGCAGCGCACAGCAGUAUCCUAGCAAUCAAAGGGAGGAAUCAGGUCUUAAAAGGGAGCUUUAGAGAAGAAGAGACAAUAUUACUUUGGCUCCGUGCAAGGCCCUGCAGCCCUCUGCCCCUUCCCAGGCACCCGAACACCCUGAGCACACAGCAGGGGGGGUUCCCAGGAGAGCUACCCCCAGUGCUCAUUAAGCUGCCCACCUGGCAGUGCACCAUCCACUUCUUUAUCUCUGAUGCUCUGUGAGCUGCUGGAUCCUUUCUUUUCCGCAGUCAUCGGGUGAUUAAAGCAGAUGGACGGAGCAGAAGAAAAGCAUUUUAAAAGGGCCAGCAUCUCAGAUCAGCAAUUUUCAUGGCCAUAAAGAUGGGGAGGGAAAAAAAAAAGAUAGAAUAAACUCUUUCUCUCUCCUUUGCUGAAAUUUACAGUGUGUUUCUAUUGCAGUUUAACCAGGUGAGAGCAGGGCUGCCUGCCAGCACUGCUCGUCAGGUAACCACGGGCUGUGCAGCACAGACAGAUGCUUUUCACUCUGUGCACCUCCCUCCCUGCUGCCAUCCCCCUGUCCGUGCUCUCCUCGCUCUCCAUGGUCUCCUCUCAUCACACACCUCAGUGGGUCCCACUGUAAUGGGGAACGGUUCAUUUCCCAAUCCACCUACAUUACUGAGGUACUAAAGAAAUAUUGCCCCGUGAAGGGGAUUUUUCCUCUUUCCCUUUAAAACAAUGCACUCAGCUGAGCCAAGGAUCAGAGGAGCAGUGUGAACCUCAACAAAGUACAGUGUUCCCCCCCACGACACCUGAGGUUUCUGGGCUGUCUCCUGGUGGACUCGGGCAGUGCUGGGGGUCCCUGGGUGCCCAGAGCAGGGUGCAGGAUGCUGGCCGUGGGUCCCAUCAGCAGGCAGCUCUGGAGACUUCAUCAUGUGCCU
rnacentral:lncRNA from 1 species